UAUGUUAAAAGUAGAGGUAGUGAAAUAACAUUUUGUAGAUAUCCUUUUGUUAAAAUUCAUAUGAAAUAUUGCCUUUUAGAAAUGGAAUAAUCAAACCACCUCUUUGAGCAGUGCACAUUAUUUUAUUUGUGCUGGUUCAAGGAGGAAGAAAAAAGUACAAAGGGCUUUAUACCAAUAUGUUUAUAGUUAGGAGAGAUUAACCAUCGUCCUGUAUGUCUGUGUUUUGCUUUACUUAGUUGUGUAUAUAGUGUACAUAAAGGACAGAUGUCCAAAUUUACAUCUAGUCUUCCUAGAUGUUAAAGAGGUUGCCAAUGUAUGACAAAAGUAGUUAGAAAAUAAAUACAUUGUGAAUACUUUGUUAAAAUUCAUACGAAAAAUUGUUCUGAAAGCAACUGGAGGAGAUGAAAUUGUUAGAAUCCCCUCUAAGCAUUUCAGAUGCUUUAUUACACUUGCUUACUAGGUUGAUAGAGAUGAGAAGGGGAAGGGUUCUAGGCCCGUGUUCCUGUUUAGAAGACACUUUGAGAUUAUAGCCUUUGUGUGCAGUUUAUUCAAUACUACAUGUAUGUAUAGUAAACUAAAAUCCUUAUUUGAAACAUCUAGUCUUUCUAGAUGUUUAAAAGUGUACAACAUAUGCUAAAAGUAGAUAAUUAACACCUUUUAAGAUUUUUUUCUGUUAAUUCAUAGGAAUGGUCAUAUUUGGGGAAUGGGAUUGUUAAACUUGAGCCUUGGAGAGUAUGCUGACUGAUGACUGGGGUGGUGGGGGUUGGGGGGGACAGGGAAGGAAGCUCAGAGAAGGGUUCUGUGCUCAUGAGUCUUUAGAAAGCUUCAGAUUUUCUAACCAUUGUUCUGUUUGUGUGUUUGAGUUAAUAUUGCUGUGUAUUAAAGAAUAAACAAGUCCCAGUGUCCAAAGUAUAUUGAAAGUAGAAGUAGUAAAAUAAUUCCUUUAUAAAUGCCCUUUUGUGGGUUUUUAGGAAGGGCUAUGACUUCUGGGAGUGUCUAUGUUAAUCCACCUUUUGUAGCUAGAUGUAGUCCUGUAGUUAGUCACUGAAAUGCUGGAAGAGGGUUAAGAGGAAGGGUGAAGGGAAGGGCUCUUGGCUAUUAUCUCCAUAUCUAGACAGUUUUAGUUUAUAACCAUAGGUCUAUAUGUGCAUUUUUGUAAAGUUUCUGUUUAUUGUGGACAAGGUUCAUUCUUUAUCUUGCAACAUCUAUGUCCCAGGAUAACAUAUGAUAAAAAGUAGAGUUAGUGAGUUAACCAAUUUGUAAAUAAAUAUCUUUGUUACAAUGAUAUAAAACAGCAUCUUGGACAUGAAUUGUUAAAGUCUCAGAAAUGUAUGUCAGGACUUGUUCACUAGGUUGGCAGCAGAGGGGCAGAAGGAAAGUAUAAAGGGAGGGUUGUAUGCGAAUGUGUUCAUAUUUAUAUUUUGGUGAUAACCAUUGAUGUGGGUGCAUCUUUUGGCUGUAAUAUAAGCAAUUCAGUGGAAACAUACCUCCUUGCUAAUAUUUUAAUAGUUUGGAUAAUUAGUCCUCUUAGAGGCAUUAUACUUUAUGUACUCUGUUGCUUUAUGUGUCAUUUUUAAUUGAACAUAAGGGAAUGUAGUAUUUUAAUCAUAACUCUACCAAUAUCUUUAUCUUGAAGCCUGUUGCUAUUUUUGUCUUUUAUGUAAUUUUAUCGCUAAGAAAGGCAGGAUUACAUUUUUUUUCCUUCCAGAUCGAGUUGGUGUAGUAUAUUCUUGGUUAUCAAAAUAAAAUACUCAUAUAGCUUUGGGACUUUGAAAUGGUAAAUAUUCAUGAUGUGUGAAAAAGCAUGAUACAUAACUAUGAUCUUAAUUACAUAAAAAUGGAUGCUUCAUUGUGUAGAUACACAAACGAAAUCUAGAAGGACAUAUCAACCUGUAAACUGCUUGAUUAUGGAUGACUUUGUUUUUUGCUUCCUAUUUGCUUGUGUUUUUCAGUUUCCUAUUAUGCACAUGUUAACUUUUAAGAAAUAAAUUUUA
rnacentral:lncRNA from 1 species